rnacentral:rRNA from 1 species
GACGUAGGGCGCGAGCGUUGUCCGGAUUUAUUGGGCGUAAAGAGCUCGUAGGCGGCUUGUCGCGUCGACCGUGAAAACUUGGGGCUCAACCCCAAGCCUGCGGUCGAUACGGGCAGGCUCGAGUUCGGUAGGGGAGACUGGAAUUCCUGGUGUAGCGGUGAAAUGCGCAGAUAUCAGGAGGAACACCGAUGGCGAAGGCAGCUCUCUGGGACGGUACUGACGCUGAGACGCGAAAGCGUGGGGAGCGAACAGG